rnacentral:sRNA from 1 species
GACAUUAUAAGUUGUAUUAAGAGAAGCACUUUAUAACGAAUAUACCUUCAAACAUGACAUUGUUCUGAGCAAGGUAAAAGAAAACCUCAGCCCAAACCUUCUCUGCUACGUCGUAUGUUCUGUCAAUGUCGUGUUCUCCAUCCAACAAGAUCUCUGGCUCAACAAUCGGAACCAAACCGCUGUCCUG